GCAGAGCAAAUUAGAAAAACAUAAUAUAUAUAUAUUUGUGGUCGGAACUUAAUUCGUAUAUGAAAAUAGAGAAGAGGGGGAUAGUUGGUAGUGGUGUGCUGAAACCAACAGGUAGGCCUGUAAUAAAGAGGGCCCACCAGAGGUAAUGUAAUGAUGAUAGUAAGUUAUUAGAGGGAGUGGAGGGAGGGGUCGCUCUAACAGGAACCAGCAUAGGUAAACGGGGGGUAGAGCUUUUAUAGGGAAAACUCCUCCCAAAAAUUCAGGCCUAUGGCCUUUU